rnacentral:rRNA from 2 species
CGCCUCUUGCUUUAACAUAAGAGGUCCAGCCUGCCCAGUGACACAAUUAAACGGCCGCGGUACCCUGACCGUGCGAAGGUAGCAUAAUAACUUGUUCUUUAAAUGGGGACUAGCAUGAACGGCACCACGAAGGCCUCACUGUCUCCUUUUUCUAAUCAGUGAAACUGAUCUCCCCGUGAAGAAGCAGGGAUAAUAAUAUAAGACGAGAAGACCCCAUGGAGCUUUAAACCCAGCAAGCAACCCUAAUCUACAUAACCCAUCUAAAUUAUUUACUCCCCUGCUUCCUGGUUUUAGGUUGGGGUGACCACGGAGUAAAACACAUCCUCCAUGACGUACGAGAUUAACCCUUAUCCAAGAGCUACUUCUCUAAGAAUCGAUAAAUCGACGUUUUAUGAUCCAAUGUAUUGAUCAACGAACCAAGUUACCCUGGGGAUAACAGCGCAAUCCAUUUUAAGAGCCCCUAUCGACGAAUGGGUUUACGACCUCGAUGUUGGAUCAGGGUACCCAAGUGGUGCAGCCGCUACUAAUGGUUUGUUUGUUCAACAAUUAAAACCCU